UGCCAACAUACAGCAUGUCAGAGAUCAC
rnacentral:piRNA from 1 species